rnacentral:rRNA from 1 species
CCUACGGGAGGCAGCAGUAGGGAAUAUUGGGCAAUGGACGCAAGUCUGACCCAGCCAUGCCGCGUGCAGGAAGAAGGCGUUAUGCGUUGUAAACUGCUUUUAUACAGGAAGAAACGACUCUUGCGAGAGGCAUUGACGGUACUGUAUGAAUAAGCACCGGCUAACUCCGUGCCAGCAGCCGCGGUAAUACGGAGGGUGCAAGCGUUGUCCGGAUUUAUUGGGUUUAAAGGGUGCGCAGGUGGUUUAUUAAGUCAGUGGUGAAAGACGGUCGCUCAACGAUUGCAGUGCCAUUGAAACUGGUAGACUUGAGUAAAGUAGAGGUGGGCGGAAUUGAUAGUGUAGCGGUGAAAUGCAUAGAUAUUAUCAAGAACUCCAAUUGCGAAGGCAGCUCACUUGGCUUUUACUGACACUCAUGCACGAAAGUGUGGGUAUCAAACAGGAUUAGAUACCCUGGUAGUCCACACUGUAAACGAUGAUAACUAGGUGUCGGCCGAAUCUGGUCGGUGCCACAGCGAAAGCGUUAAGUUAUCCACCUGGGGAGUACGCCGGCAACGGUGAAACUCAAAUGAAAUUGACGG